rnacentral:rRNA from 1 species
AGAGUUUGAUCCUGGCUCAGAACGAACGCUGGCGGCAGGCUUAACACAUGCAAGUCGAACGCACCCUUCGGGGUGAGUGGCAGACGGGUGAGUAACACGUGGGAACGUGCCCUUCAGUUCGGAAUAACCCAGGGAAACUUGGGCUAAUACCGGAUACGCCCUUUUUGGGGAAAGAUUGAUCGCUGAAGGAUCGGCCCGCGUCUGAUUAGCUGGUUGGUGAGGUAAAGGCUCACCAAGGCGACGAUCAGUAGCUGGUCUGAGAGGAUGAUCAGCCACACUGGGACUGAGACACGGCCCAGACUCCUACGGGAGGCAGCAGUGGGGAAUAUUGGACAAUGGGCGCAAGCCUGAUCCAGCCAUGCCGCGUGAGUGAUGAAGGCCUUAGGGUUGUAAAGCUCUUUUGUCCGGGACGAUAAUGACGGUACCGGAAGAAUAAGCCCCGGCUAACUUCGUGCCAGCAGCCGCGGUAAUACGAAGGGGGCUAGCGUUGCUCGGAAUCACUGGGCGUAAAAGGGCGCGUAGGCGGCCAUUCAAGUCGGGGGUGAAAGCCUGUGGCUCAACCACAGAAUUGCCUUCGAUACUGUUUGGCUUGAGUAUGGUAGAGGUUGGUGGAACUGCGAGUGUAGAGGUGAAAUUCGUAGAUAUUCGCAAGAACACCGGUGGCGAAGGCGGCCAACUGGACCAUUACUGACGCUGAGGCGCGAAAGCGUGGGGAGCAAACAGGAUUAGAUACCCUAGUAGUCC